rnacentral:rRNA from 1 species
UCCGUCCUACGGGACGCAGCAGUGAGGAAUAUUGGUCAAUGGACGGAAGUCUGAACCAGCCAUGCCGCGUGCAGGAAGACGGCUCUAUGAGUUGUAAACUGCUUUUGUACAAGGGUAAACGCAGAUACGUGUAUCUGUCUGAAAGUAUCGUACGAAUAGGGAUCGGCUAACUCCGUGCCAGCAGCCGCGGUAAUACGGAGGAUUCAAGCGUUAUCCGGAUUUAUUGGGUUUAAAGGGUGCGUAGGCGGUCGGAUAAGUUAGAGGUGAAAUCCCGAGGCUCAACUUCGGAAUUGCCUCUGAUACUG